rnacentral:tRNA from 1 species
UCCCUGGUAGUCAAGUGGUUAAGACUCCUCACUUCCAAUGCAGGGUGCUCAGGUUCCAUCCUUGGUCGGGGAA